CCUACGGGUGACAGCAGUGAGGAAUAUUGGUCAAUGGGCUUACGCCUGAACCAGCCAAGUCGCGUGAGGGAAGACUGCCCUAUGGGUUGUAAACCUCUUUUGCCGGGGAGCAACGGGCGUCACGUGUGGCGCCACUGAGAGUACCCGGAGAAAAAGCAUCGGCUAACUCCGUGCCAGCAGCCGCGGUAAUACGGAGGAUGCGAGCGUUAUCCGGAUUUAUUGGGUUUAAAGGGUGCGUAGGCGGAUCGUUAAGUCAGUGGUCAAAUUGAGGGGCUCAACCCCUUCCCGCCAUUGAAACUGGCGGUCUUGAGUGGACGAGAAGUAUGCGGAAUGCGUGGUGUAGCGGUGAAAUGCAUAGAUAUCACGCAGAACCCCGAUUGCGAAGGCAGCAUGCCGGCUUCCGACUGACGCUGAAGCACGAAAGCGUGGGGAUCGAACAGGAUUAGAUACCCUUGUAGUC
rnacentral:rRNA from 1 species